AAGCGGAGUAAGGGGCUGUGGGUAGAGAGGGACAUCUCCGGCACUCACGUGCCGAAUUCCCAACCUUGUUCUGGGAGCUCAUUUUCAUCGAUAUAAGGAGGAUACGACUGAGAGUUAAGGCUGGAGCCUCAAAAAGACAUUUAGUUAUAAAGAGGACUAUGCAGCGGCGUAGAAGAAGUGGAAAGAACUUGGGGCUGGGAGCUCCCUCUAGACUGUCUCAUUUUUGCAGUUCCUGAUCGUCACUAUCUACCCCACGUCUUUAAGAAUUUCCCUCACCCAGGAGGCAGAUCUGUUGAUUUAAGAAUACCCUGGUAAGGACUGUCCAUUUUGCGGUUCAUUGCAAUAUUAUCGAUUCGAG
rnacentral:lncRNA from 1 species